GGGAAACAAGAGGAGGGGCCAGCCUCAGGCCCCCGCAACAAACUGGGGCA
rfam:Chlorocebus sabaeus isolate 1994-021 chromosome 20, whole genome shotgun sequence.